GGGUGCUUAGCUCAGUUGGUAGAGCGGCGCUCUUACACGGCGUAGGUCGGGGGUUCGAGCCCCUCAGCACCCACCA
rnacentral:tRNA from 1 species